rnacentral:tRNA from 1 species
GCGGGUAUAGCUCAGUUGGCUAGAGCACCGGAUUGUGGUUCCGGGCGUCGUCGGUUCGAGUCCGAUUACCCGUCCCA